rnacentral:rRNA from 1 species
UAGGGAAUCUUCGGCAAUGGGGGCAACCCUGACCGAGCAACGCCGCGUGAGUGAAGAAGGUUUUCGGAUCGUAAAGCUCUGUUGUAAGAGAAGAACGUGUGUGAGAGUGGAAAGUUCACACAGUGACGGUAACUUACCAGAAAGGGACGGCUAACUACGUGCCAGCAGCCGCGGUAAUACGUAGGUCCCGAGCGUUGUCCGGAUUUAUUGGGCGUAAAGCGAGCGCAGGCGGUUUAAUAAGUCUGAAGUUAAAGGCAGUGGCUUAACCAUUGUUCGCUUUGGAAACUGUUAAACUUGAGUGCAGAAGGGGAGAGUGGAAUUCCAUGUGUAGCGGUGAAAUGCGUAGAUAUAUGGAUGAACACCGGUGGCGAGAGCGGCUCUCUGGUCUGUAACUGACGCUGAGGCUCGAAAGCGUGGGGAGCAAACAGG